rnacentral:rRNA from 1 species
UCUAAUACCGGAUACUGAGCCACUUGGGCAUCCAAGUGUUCGAAAGCUCCGGCGGUGCAGGAUGAGCCCGCGGCCUAUCAGCUUGUUGGUGAGGUAAUGGCUCACCAAGGCGACGACGGG